rnacentral:tRNA from 1 species
GUGCCUGUAGCUCAGCGGAUAGAGCACUGGUCUACGGAACCAGGAGUCGGGAGUUCGAAUCUCUCCAGGCACG